GGAGGAGAUAUUCGCCAGAGCUCCUCGGUUCCUGUCUGCGGGCCAUGUGGGUUGUGCGUCUGUAUGUUGCUGGCUUCGGUGCAAAAAGCGCUUUUAACAGAAGCUAUUUCUGCAGUCGGUGAGCGGUGGGGCUGGUCCGGCCGCAAAGAAGCAUGUUUCGCGUUCUGACCACGCCGUGGGGCGCCGGCUGCCUGGGAGCUGCCGCCCGCGGGUCGCCGUGGUGGGGUCCAGGGCGCUGCGCAAGACUGGCCCUUGAAGCUGGCGGAGCUACUCCUGCUGGUGAAGGGAGGCUGGCUCUGGAUGAAGCUUCGCCGAGGAGAAGGUGCUGUGGCGCCCCAGAGCACGGGACUAAGUGGAUCAAGCCCACAGGCCGAGACACGGGCAUCCAGACCUACAACAGCCUGAGCAAAAGCAAAGAGCCGCUCAUAUUGGGGGACACCGAUGUGGUGACUUGGUAUAGCUGUGGGCCAACUGUGUAUGACCAUGCACACCUUGGGCAUGCUUGUUCCUAUGUUAGAUUUGAUAUCAUCCGAAGAAUAAUGACAAAGAUAUUUGGAAAGGAAGUAAUCAUGGUGAUGGGAAUUACAGAUAUAGAUGACAAAAUAAUUAAAAGAGCCAAUGAGAUGGGUAUAUCACCAGUGUCUCUUGCCCGUUUUUAUGAGGAAGACUUUAAGCAGGACAUGGCUGCCUUAAAGGUUCUUCCUCCUACCAUAUAUAUGAGAGUAACUGAAAAUAUUCCUCAGAUCAUUGCUUUUAUACAGCAGAUAAUUAUUAAAGGUCAUGGUUAUGCAACCUCAAAAGGUAAUGUUUAUUUUGAUGUCAGUUCUAGGGGAGACAGAUACGGAAAACUAGUGACUAUCUCUCCUGAUGCUCAAGAGGAACCAGUUGAUGGUGAUAAACGUCAUGUGAAGGAUUUUGCUCUUUGGAAGGCAGCCAAACCUCAAGAGAUAUACUGGGAUUCUCCCUGGGGGAAAGGAAGACCUGGCUGGCACAUUGAAUGUUCUACGAUAUCAAGCCUCGUGUUUGGAGGUCAUUUGGAUAUUCAUACUGGUGGGAUAGAUCUUGCAUUUCCCCAUCAUGAAAAUGAAAUUGCUCAAUGUGAGGUGUAUCAUCAGUGUGAGCAAUGGGGAAAUUACUUUCUACAUUCUGGACAUCUGCAUACUAAAGGAAGUGAAAAAAUGUCAAAAUCUCUCAAAAACUACAUUACAAUUAAGGAUUUCCUGAAGGAGUUCUCAUCUGAACAGUUUAGAAUGUUUUGUUUGCGGAGCAAAUACAGGUCAGCUGUAGAAUAUAGUGAGGACAGCUUGAAUGAUGCAAAGAACACCCUUCAGGCAAUCUAUUCUUUUAUGAGUAGUGCUAACACCUACAUGAAAGGGCAGCUUCUCUGUGAGGCCAUUAAAGAAGAUGUACUGUGGGAGAUGCUAGCCCACACUAAGGCAACAGUAAAGGCUGCGUGUGCUGAUGACUUUGACACCCCCAGGGCUGUUGGUGCAAUUAUGGGCCUCAUUCACCAUGGCAACAGACAGCUUAAGGCCGUCACUAAGGAAACUGGAUCUCCUAGAAGCGCUGUUGUGUUUGGAGCCAUUGUGUCCUAUAUAGAGGAAUUUUUCAACACAUUUGGGAUUGCCCUCUCUGAAGCUCAGGUUGCUCCAGAACACAACCAUCCAGCCAUCCUCUCCAGUGUGAUUGAUGAACUGGUGAGGUUCCGCAUCAAAGUGCGCAAUUUUGCCCUUGCUGUGCCGGCAGCUGCAGAAAGUGCACCCACUGAAGGUGCUCAUUUGUCCGAAGAGCCAAAACAGAUACAGAAAGAGGAAAGGCAGCGGCUGUUGAAAGACCGAGCACCCCUUCUGCAAGCGUGUGAUAGUCUGCGUCAAGACCUAGCUCUCUACGGACAGAAGUACUACUUCUACAUGGGAACUCGGAGACCCCAGCAAAGAACUGGAAAAAGGCUGAUACAAAUAUGGACCACACUUGGAGUGGUUUAACACUAUGGAUUUAAAAUUCUUGUGACUUAAGAGAGUUCUCUACUUAAAAGUAAAAAGCUUUGUCAUUGAUUUUGGGGAACAAGUGCAGAUCUGUUAUGCAUAGCUAAAGCUCCUCUGUGUUCACACUUACGGAAUCCUGUAAACUUGUUUGCAUCACUGUCUUCAGUGAGAUUAAACUGCUGCUUCUGGUUUUGUUUUGUUUUCCUUUUAAAAACAGAACUUUCUAGCGAAACUGCCAUUGCCGGGUCUCAUGACAAAAGAGGUUUCUAGGGGUGACACCAAAAGCUGCUGUAAGAUCUACAAAGGCACUACACUGUUCAAAUGGGUCCCCCUCCAGUCUUGAAAUGUUUUAUGAUUGAUUGAUAUGACUGACAUUCCUGAGAGCUGAUAUUGAGAUGUCUGUGCCAUGGCAUCAGCAUCUUCAGAAGUUAGGCAUCUAACCUUCCUAUCUGUGCUUGAAAAUGUUCAGUAAGAAAAUGAGGUAUGGCGUUAGAGCGAGUUCCAUUUGCUUCUUUAUUGCCUGCAGAUUAAACUUUUUGGUUUAGUACUUCCUUUCUUCAGUGCCUUUUGAAGUACCUUCCAAAUUCUGACAGCAUCAGCAGUACGGCAGCCAUUUCUGAAAACCCUUUUAAGGCUAUGGCUUCCAGUAUAGUGAGAAUAUCUUCUGUGUUUAAUGAUUUGGAAGAGAUACUUUCACUAUUUUAUGAAUGCUUCACACAGCUUUAUGAGAACAGGCCAGGACAAAUUCUCAAAACAAUCACCUAAGGAAUUCCAUCCUGAAGAAGAGUUCGUUUUCAUCCUAAUUCUCUCUUUAGUAAAGCUGAGGCAAAACCAUUUAAUAGAAGUACUUUGUAACUUCAUAGGGUUUUUUUUUUAAUUCCUGGAGAAGUAGUAGGUCAAAACGAUGCAUUAAAUGGAUAUACAGCAACUAUAUGUUAUUUAAGGAGCUUCAUUUCACAUCUUGCCACUUCUCAUUUUUGCCAUAUUUGCAGUUUUGCCUGUGACAAACCUCACGUUACAUUUGAUCUUGGCUCACAUUUUAUUGUAAAUUUCACUGCCACUUCUUUUAAAUCUGUUGUGUGUUUGCCAGUUUGUUUCUGAAAGAAAUUCUUGCACACUAGGUUGCUUCUCAUACUAUCUAGCAACCCUCCAACUAUGUCUACUCUGUGUUCCUAAGAACUUAACCAAGUCCUUAUUUAUUACCUUUUAUUAAUAAUGUGAAAAAGGGGGUAACUUGUAGGUAUGUUCUGAUCUUAUUACAAACCUUAUUACAUGCUAGGGGUUUUACAGGGUGAUUGAAAUAUUUCGCUUGCAACUGAACUGUCUGGAACAUGUUUCGUGGCAGGAGUGCUGCUAAAACUACCAGUAGAUGACUCUAAAGUUGCAGAUGGUCAAGUUGUUUGCACUUCUCUAGGAUUCUGAGACAAAUUAUUUUGGUUCUUCUCAUUCUGUUAUUCGGUGAACCAAUUAAUUUGUUUUCAACAAGAAUGCAGUUGAUUGCAAGAGUAUCCAAAAAGUUAAAGUUCAUUUAUGGAACACAUUGAACAUCACUGGUGCUUCAGUUUUUGAGAAAUUUAAAUAUAUGAUGGGAUUAUUUGACAAACUUGAGUAAUGUUGCAUUAAAAUAGGGAAUCGUCAAUGAUGAUCUGCCAUGAUGAUCCAUAAUUAGGGGCAUAUGAUAACUGGUCGCAAUUUUAAAUUUCUCUUCUUGCAACUUUCUGUAUUAACUAUGUUUAGAAUCUACAAAGUUUAAUUGAGCCAGAAUUAACUUGGCAAAGCCACAAAAUAUUCUAGCAAGACCCAACACAGCAAACAGUUUAAGAAUCUAUUUGUUAAGUCAGACCUAAUAUGCAUAGAGAGAUGGUUAAAUCACAAUUUAACCUGGAACCUUUGAAUUCAGGGAACCGUGUUAGUCAUGACUGACUUAAAUCUCACCGAUUUCAGUGACGUUGAGGUGCAAACCAAUGUCUUGACAGGUAAUGUGAAAAGGAGCAAAAUGAAUUAAUUUGCUAACCAAUUGAUCCACAUUGUUCAGACUAGGCUACAUAACUCUCUCUUAAUAAACAGUUUUCAUUAAAAUGUU